AUUGAACGCUGGCGGCAGGCCUAACACAUGCAAGUCGAACGGUAACAGGAAACAGCUUGCUGUUUCGCUGACGAGUGGCGGACGGGUGAGUAAUGUCUGGGACACUGCCUGAUGGCGGGGGAUAACUACUGGAAACGGUAGCUAAUACCGCAUAACGUCGCAAGACCAAAGAGGGGGACCUUCGGGCCUCUUGCCAUCGGAUGUGCCCAGAUGGGAUUAGCUAGUAGGUGGGGUAACGGCUCACCUAGGCGACGAUCCCUAGCUGGUCUGAGGGGAUGACCAGCCACACUGGAACUGAGACACGGUCCAGACUCCUACGGGAGGCAGCAGUGGGGAAUAUUGCACAAUGGGCGCAAGCCUGAUGCAGCCAUGCCGCGUGUAUGAAGAAGGCCUUCGGGUUGUAAAGUACUUUCAGCGGGGAGGAAGGGAGUAAAGUUAAUACCUUUACUCAUUGACGUUACCCGCAGAAGAAGCACCGGCUAACUCCGUG
rnacentral:rRNA from 1 species